CAUUAGGUAGUAGGCGGGGUAACGGCCCACCUAGCCUACGAUGGAUAGGGGUUCUGAGAGGAAGGUCCCCCACAUUGGAACUGAGACACGGUCCAAACUCCUACGGGAGGCAGCAGUGAGGAAUAUUGGUCAAUGGGCGCGAGCCUGAACCAGCCAAGUAGCGUGAAGGAUGAAGGUCCUACGGAUUGUAAACUUCUUUUAUAAGGGAAUAAAGUCGCCUACGUGUAGGCGUUUGUAUGUACCUUAUGAAUAAGCAUCGGCUAACUCCGUGCCAGCAGCCGCGGUAAUACGGAGGAUGCGAGCGUUAUCCGGAUUUAUUGGGUUUAAAGGGAGCGUAGACGGAGGAUUAAGUCAGUUGUGAAAGUUUGCGGCUCAACCGUAAAAUUGCAGUUGAUACUGGUCCCCUUGAGUGCAGUUGAGGCAGGCGGAAUUCGUGGUGUAGCGGUGAAAUGCUUAGAUAUCACGAAGAACCCCGAUUGCGAAGGCAGCCUGCUAAGCUGUAACUGACGUUGAUGCUCGAAAGUGUGGGUAUCAAACAGGAUUAGAUACCCUGGUAGUCCACACGGUAAACGAUGGAUACUCGCUGUUGGCGAUAUACUGUCAGCGGCCAAGCGAAAGC
rnacentral:rRNA from 1 species